AUAAUCCUCAUACUAGAGAUUAUUUUCGGUUUUGCAUAUCUCAGUAUGAUCAUGAUAUUUUUUUUCUUUCUGAAACUAAAACUCAAAAUAAUAAAAUGCAUUUGUAUUUAUCUCAUACGAAGUAUCCUAAUUAUUGGUAUGCUCCUUCUAUUGGUUUUUCGGGAGGAAUUGCUUUUGCUUAGAAAAAUGGUAUUGACCUUCAUAUAAUGCAUACUACUCAUAAUACCAUUCAUGCCAUCAUCAAUUCUCAUAACCACAUGCCUGACAUGUUUCUUACCUGUAUGUAUGGUGGUGAUAACAACUCAGUUACAAAUCAUGAUCAGUGGCAAUACUUAUUAGACAUGAACCAUGUUGUUGAUGUACCGUGGAUUUUAAUAGGGGACUUGAAUUUUACUAUGCAUGAUUCAGAAACUCAGAGUACUCACCCUUCUGCUCAUUAUCACUCUAGACAGAUUAGAAAUAUUGUCAACCAACUGGGCCUUAUUGAUCUUGGUUAUUCUGGAUCGACGACUACUUGGUCUAAUCAUAGGAAUGGGUGCUGAUUUUACGUAUGUCAGAUUAGAUAGAGCUUUAGUUAAUUCCGAGUGGAUUAAUCAUUUCACUUCAUCUCAUUUGUAACAUAUAGCUCCUCUUGCAUCUGAUCAUAGUCCCAUUUUGUUGCAUACUACAUCUGAAUUAGGUAGACAUUCGCCUUUCAAACUGGAUAGAUGUUGUUUUAAAGUUGCUUCUUGUUCCGAUACUAUUCACACAAGAUGGAAUCAAUAUUUUCGAGGGUCUCCUGCUUAUCAAUUUUCUAGUAAACUCAAGCAUACUAGGAUUGUACUUCAAAAAUGGAAAAGGCUCUCCUUUGGUAACAUUGAGUCUCAGAUACAUUCUCUUCAUCAACAACUUCAACACUGCUAUGAUAAUAAUAUGACUACUAACAAUAGUGAAGUGCAGCGUUUAAAUUCUUAUCUUCAACAGUGGCUUUCUAUUCAAAAGGACUACUAUAUGCAGUUAGCUGGUUCUCAUUUACAUGAAGCUGACAGGAAUACCAAUUAAUUUCACAGUAAAGUCAAUUAAAACAAAAGGCAAUCUCAAAUUCAAGAUAUUCAAGGUCCGUUGGGCAUCUGAUGAUACAGAAAUUAAAGAAGUUGUUUUCAAGAUUAAACCUUGGGCUUCUCCGGGUAAUGAUGGUUUUCAAGCUGCAUUUUACCAGAAUUGCUGGGAUACUGUCGGUGCUGAGAUGAUUGCUUGUUGUUUUUCCAAGAUACUCCAGAUCAUAUGAGACAUCUACAAUCUAUUCUCCACAUCUUUGCUGAAACAAAUGGGUAUAGGAGAAAAGUACUUGGGUAUUCCUUUACUUAUGCACAGAUCUCGGCAUAAAAAUUGUCAAGGCAUUUUAGAUAACAUGAGUAACAGGCUUCAAGGAUGGCAGAGUAAAUUAGUCAAUCAAGAAGCAAGAACUACUCAGAUAAAUUCUGUUCUUAGUACCAUGGGUAUGUACCAAAUGCAUCUUUUGAAGCUACCUGACACUGCAAUUCAUCAAAUGGAUAAAGUGCAAAGACAAUACUGGUGGAACAAUUUCGAUAAUCAUAAAUCUCCUAGAACUAUAUUUUGGGAUAAAAUUUCUCUUCCUAAACGUGAUGGAGGUUUAGGUUUGAAGAAUCUAAAGCAUUACAAUUCAGCAUUUCUUGCUAAACUGGCCUGGAAUUUACUUCAUAACCAACAAACUCUGUCGGCUCAGGUGUUAAAAGCUUUUACUACUUCUCAAGUGGACUCUAUUCUUACAAUACCUCUUCAAUUGGAUCAGAAGGAUAGUUUAAUUUGGCCUUUCACUCCAGCUGGAAUCUUUACUACCAGGGCGCUUCUUGGCCGCUAAGGGAACGGUAAGCAGAACACAACAUGCCAAUCAAGCAAAGGCCUAGGCGCUGUUGGAAGAAAUGUACAUGGCUCUUGCUAAUGGAUGGAAUCAUGUUAUCUUUGAGUCUGAUAACCUAAGUAUCUAGGUUGUAAUCAAUCAGCUAUUGCCUUGGAAAAAGCUGUUAGAAAGUACCGUCUUAAUGAGGAAUGG